rnacentral:rRNA from 1 species
UACGAAGGGGGCUAGCGUUGCUCGGAAUUACUGGGCGUAAAGAGCGCGCAGGCGGUCGUUCAAGUCGAGUGUGAAAGCCCCCGGCUCAACUGGGGAGGGUCACUCGAUACUGAUCGACUGGAAGGCAGGAGAGGGAAGCGGAAUUCCCGGUGUAGUGGUGAAAUGCGUAGAUAUCGGGAGGAACACCAGUGGCGAAGGCGGCUUCCUGGCCUGUUCUUGACGCUGAGGCGCGAAAGCUAGGGGAGCAAACGGG